GUGAAUCAUCGAAUCUUUGAACGCAAAUGGCACUCUCUGGUAUUCCGGAGAGCAUGCCUAUAUGAGGGUCAUUGGAAAUAAUAUAAAUUCUAAGAUUUCUAGGUAUUUAAAAUGGGUUGUCCAUUUUGUGAGGACGCCUAAAGUCCAAGACAAGCUCAUCUACUUGGGUUGCGUGUGACUUUCAGUUACUUCGUGUCUUAGCCAGGAAUCAACGGACGAGUUGUGAAUUUUGGAAGAGAU
rnacentral:misc_RNA from 1 species